GUAAGGAAUAUUGGUCAAUGGACGCAAGUCUGAACCAGCCAUGCCGCGUGGAGGAUGAAGGUCCUCUGGAUUGUAAACUUCUUUUAUCUGGGAAGAAAUCCACCUUUUCUAAGGUGGUUGACGGUACCAGUUGAAUAAGCACCGGCUAACUCCGUGCCAGCAGCCGCGGUAAUACGGAGGGUGCAAGCGUUAUCCGGAUUCACUGGGUUUAAAGGGUGCGUAGGUGGGUUGGUAAGUCCGUGGUGAAAUCCCCGAGCUUAACUUGGGAACUGCCAUGGAUACUAUCAGUCUUGAAUACCGUGGAGGUCAGUGGAAUAUGUCAUGUAGCGGUGAAAUGCUUAGAUAUGACAUAGAACACCAAUUGCGAAGGCAGCUGACUACGCGGAGAUUGACGCUGAGGCACGAAAGCGUGGGGAUCAAACAGGAUUAGAAACCCGAGUAGUCC
rnacentral:rRNA from 1 species